rnacentral:rRNA from 1 species
AGCGAACGCUGGCGGUAGGCCUAACACGUGCAAGUCGAACGGCAGCACAGUAAGAGCUUGCUCUUACGGGUGGCGAGUGGCGGACGGGUGAGGAAUACAUCGGAAUCUACUUUUUCGUGGGGGAUAACGUAGGGAAACUUACGCUAAUACCGCAUACGACCUACGGGUGAAAGCAGGGGAUCUUCGGACCUUGCGCGAUUGAAUGAGCCGAUGUCGGAUUAGCUAGUUGGCGGGGUAAAGGCCCACCAAGGCGACGAUCCGUAGCUGGUCUGAGAGGAUGAUCAGCCACACUGGAACUGAGACACGGUCCAGACUCCUACGGGAGGCAGCAGUGGGGAAUAUUGGACAAUGGGCGAAAGCCUGAUCCAGCCAUACCGCGUGGGUGAAGAAGGCCUUCGGGUUGUAAAGCCCUUUUGUUGGGAAAGAAAAGCAGCAGGUUAAUACCCCGCUGUUCUGACGGUACCCAAAGAAUAAGCACCGGCUAACUUCGUG